UACAGAGGUCUCAAGCGUUGUUCGGAUCCAUUGGGCGUAAAGGGUGCGUAGGUGGCGCCAUAAGUCAGGUGUGAAAUCUCGGGGCUCAACCUCGAAACUGCACUUGAUACUGUGGUGCUUGAGUACUGGAGAGGAGAUUGGAAUUUACGGUGUAGCAGUGAAAUGCGUAGAUAUCGUAAGGAAGACCAGUGGCGAAGGCGAAUCUCUGGACAGUUACUGACACUGAGGCACGAAGGCCAGGGGAGCAAACGGG
rnacentral:rRNA from 1 species